rnacentral:lncRNA from 1 species
UGAAGUUGAAUAUGUUUAGUAUGAAGAUGAUUAUAAUCAUUUCAAACUCCACGAUUUUUUUGUUCUCACAAAAUCUGUAAAAGUUAAAGGAGAUAGUAUCUCGAGAAAAAUUUAUACUCAUUAGAAGAAACCCUUAUCAUAAUCUCAAGUCCGGAUCAAGAUUGUGGAGCUGUGGUUGGAAAACAAACGGUGAAGAAACUAGGAGUACAUGAUCAAGAGAUGUACGAGAACUAUCUUAUGAGAUCUUACCUCGAGAUCAAACAACUAUAUGCACCGAAUUGCAAUUAGGAUAUUUUGAGUACAUAUGAAUUAACUGAAAAGGGAUAUGUUAUUCCUUUAUAUAUUCAUUGUUAAUAAUAUUUUUUUUCCCUUUUUUCCUUAUUUUUUCUUUUAGUUUUUCCUGAAAUAUUAUUUAGUAAUGUUGAAUCUUUACCAAGUAAAAGAAACCAAUUUAUAUAUGGUUAAAAACUUAUCAUGAUGUUAAGAGAAACUAUUUUACAUAUUAUUUAUAUGAUUUUAAUCACGAUGUUUAAUUAUAAAUGUUUUCAUGCCAAGAAUAUGAUGUUUCAUAAGCUUUGAAGAUUAGCUUACACUUCUUGAAAUCCCUACUUAUUAUAUUAAAAAUAUGAAACAAUGCAUUUCAUAAAAGAAGAACUUAUCUCUUUUGAGUAAAUUCUUAUAUGCUCAAAAAUUUCUUAAUUGCAAUUCGGUGCAUGAAGUUGUUUGAUCUCGAAGGUAAGAUCUCAUAAUAUAAUUAUUAUACAUCUCUUGAUCAUGUACUCCUAGUUUCUCAAUCAUUUGUUGUGUAACUGGAUCUCCACCAUCUUGAGUAACAAGGUGAAGGUGAGGGAGAGCGUGAGAAUGAGGAUGAGGAUGAAGAUGAGGAUGAUAUUGAAGAUGUCGAAGGUGCGGGUGAGGGUGAUGGUGAAGUUGAAUAUGUUUAGUAUGAAGAUGAUUAUAAUCAUUUCAAACUCCACGAUUUUUUUGUUCUCACAAAAUCUGUAAAAGUUAAAGGAGAUAGUAUCUCGAGAAAAAUUUAUACUCAUUAGAAGAAACCCUUAUCAUAAUCUCAAGUCCGGAUCAAGAUUGUGGAGCUGUGGUUGGAAAACAAACGGUGAAGAAACUAGGAGUACAUGAUCAAGAGAUGUACGAGAACUAUCUUAUGAGAUCUUACCUCGAGAUCAAACAACUAUAUGCACCGAAUUGCAAUUCGGAUAUUUUGAGUACAUAUGAAUUAACUCAAAAGGGAUAUGUUAUUACUUUAUAAAUUCAUUGUUAAUAAUAUUUUUUUUCCUUUUUUUCCUUAUUUUUUCUUUUAGUUUUUCCUGAAAUAUUAUUUAGUAAUGUUGAAUCUUUACCAAGUAAAAGAAACUAAUUUAUAUAUGGUCAAAAACUUAUCAUGAUGUUAAGAGAAACUAUUUUACAUAUUAU